UACGUAGGGUGCGAGCGUUAAUCGGAAUUACUGGGCGUAAAGCGUGCGCAGGCGGUUUUGUAAGCCAGAUGUGAAAUCCCCGGGCUUAACCUGGGAAUGGCAUUUGGGACUGCAAGGCUCGAGUGCGGCAGAGGGGGAUGGAAUUCCGCGUGUAGCGGUGAAAUGCGUAGAUAUGCGGAGGAACACCGAUGGCGAAGGCAAUCCCCUGGGCCUGCACUGACGCUCAUGCACGAAAGCGUGGGGAGCAAACAGG
rnacentral:rRNA from 1 species